UACGGGGGGGGCAAGCGUUGUUCGGAAUUACUGGGCGUAAAGCGUGCGCAGGCGGUUAUGCAAGACAGAUGUGAAAUCCCCGGGCUCAACCUGGGAACUGCGUUUGAAACUACAAGGCUAGAGUGUGGCAGAGGGGGGUGGAAUUCCACGUGUAGCAGUGAAAUGCGUAGAGAUGUGGAGGAACACCGAUGGCGAAGGCAGCCCCCUGGGUUAACACUGACGCUCAGGCACGAAAGCGUGGGGAGCAAACAGG
rnacentral:rRNA from 1 species